ACUGAGUGGCGGACGGGUGAGUAACGCGUGGGUAACCUGCCCCAUACAGGGGGAUAACAGUUAGAAAUGACUGCUAAUACCGCAUAAGACCACAGCACCGCAUGGUGCAGGGGUAAAAACUCCGGUGGUAUGGGAUGGACCCGCGUCUGAUUAGCUAGUUGGCGGGGUAACGGCCUACCAAGGCGACGAUCAGUAGCCGACCUGAGAGGGUGACCGGCCACAUUGGGACUGAGACACGGCCCAAACUCCUACGGGAGGCAGCAUG
rnacentral:rRNA from 1 species